GCGGACGGGUGAGUAAUGUCUGGGAAACUGCCUGAUGGAGGGGGAUAACUACUGGAAACGGUAGCUAAUACCGCAUAACGUCGCAAGACCAAAGAGGGGGACCUUCGGGCCUCUUGCCAUCGGAUGUGCCCAGAUGGGAUUAGCUAGUAGGUGGGGUAACGGCUCACCUAGGCGACGAUCCCUAGCUGGUCUGAGAGGAUGA
rnacentral:rRNA from 1 species